GGAGAGAUGGCAGAGUGGUUGAAUGCGAUAGUCUCGAAAACUAUUAAGGGGGUAACUCCUUCGAGGGUUCAAAUCCCUCUCUCUCCG
rnacentral:tRNA from 1 species